GACGAACGCUGGCGGCGUGCUUAACACAUGCAAGUCGAACGGUGAAGCCUUGCUUUUGUGGUGUGCGGGAGUGUGGCACGGGUGUGUAUCAUGUGAGUGACCUGCGCUCUACUCUGUGAUAUCUUCCUGAAAAUGUGGCUAUUACCGGAUAUGCGCCCCGUCUGCAUGGUGGGGCGUGGAAAGAUUCGGUGGUUGGGGAUGGACUCGCGGCUUAUCAGCUUGUUGGUGGGGUAGUGGCUUACCAAGGCAUUGACGGGUAGCCGGCCUGAGAGGGUGACCGGCCACACUGGGACUGAGAUACGGCCCAGACUCCUACGGGAGGCAGCAGUGGGGAAUAUUGCACAAUGGGCGGAAGCCUGAUGCAGCGACGCCGCGUGAGGGAUGACGGCCUUCGGGUUGUAAACCUCUUUCGGCUGGGACGAAGCGUGAGUGACGGUAAUGGGUGAAGAAGCGCCGGCUAACUACGUG
rnacentral:rRNA from 1 species